CUGGUCUGUAAAAUAGGGAUAAUGCAGUGACAGGGGUUUACUGUGGUGACUCAAGGGCAUAACUUGUGCAGAAUGCUUUGGGAAUAGCAUUACUGUGUUGAGGGCUGGCCUGGGACACCACUAGAUGAUACUAUCUUCGUCAUCAGCCUUUAGACUUGCAACUAAGACCUGUGCUUUCUGCCACAACCACGAGGAGGAAGAUCACCUACAGAGACUGUCCAGCAAGGCUGCUUUUUCACAAACCUCUGAGACAACGAGGGCAUUUCAGCCAAGGAAUUUUUGCAUGGAGGCAAAGACCAGAUGGGUGAGUUUGGUGCCCACCUUCAUCAAACCAUGGGGCAGCGGCCACAAAGUAGAAAUGUGGUGGCUCCGGUCCUACAGUGCCUGGUUUUGAGAAAUGUUUUGCUUCUUUGGGAGUUGAUAUCAUACUGUAUCCAGCUUUAAAAGGAGCACAGUCAACCAAUAUGUCUUGAGAAGUGUGCCAACAGGGCAAGUGAUUUCAAAACCAAGCGACGAAUCAUGUUGCUUUAGUAUUACGUUCUGUCAGAGGGAAGGGCACUAGAAUAUGAAGUCAUCAUGCCAAAAGGUUCUUUGGUAUAUUUUGAAGUUUUUUUCCUCUCUGCAGCCCUUUUUAUCAAAUAGGGAAUCUUCUUAAAAGAAUCAAAUUCUAAUAAUCUUUCCCCUUUGAUAAAGACCUUGGACCUUUAUGCCUUAGAAGAAAGAAACAUGCAACCCCAGACUUUUGGACAUAGAUUCAUCUGAGCGGGGACAUUAGAGCAGGAAAAGAUGGGGACCGUUGUGGGUCUUCCUGUUAAACAUGAGGAGAUAUGAGAAGGCCUUCAUUAUUAGAAAUAAAAAUGUUUUAAAUGAAGAUACACAUUUUUAAGGGACACCCAUCUCCUCUUGCACCUCCUUCCCCCCAGAUCCUCUCAGUAUUCUCUCUGCAUGUUAAGCCUGUGACUAGUCAUCUUGGCCUGGUUCAGCUGCUAAGUGAAUGCUGCUUCUAUAAACAUUUCACUG
rnacentral:lncRNA from 1 species